AUGCCGGCGGCCGCCGAUGAGGAAACGACCAACCGUUUCAUCUUGGAGAACAUCAUCUUCGACGGUGGUACGACGGCCGCUGCCUCCGCUGGCAAUGCCGCCGUGGCUGCGUACGAUCCCGAGGAGACCCCAAGCCAGUACGCCCGAACGCCGGUCGCCUAUGAUCAAGCUGUCGUGCAGGACACCUUCAUGCGAGAUCAGGUCGGCUUGGACCUUGACGGCUUCCCGCUCGACCACGAGUUUCCGGAGGACUACGCGGCCUCGAGGAAGAGGAUGAGUUGGACAUCAACGGGAGCCUUUGUUCGAGACCGAGGUCGCCAAACAAGCCACUGA
rnacentral:rRNA from 1 species